rnacentral:rRNA from 1 species
GACGAACGCUGGCGGCGCGCCUAACACAUGCAAGUCGAACGAGCGAGAGAGAGCUUGCUUUCUCGAGCGAGUGGCGAACGGGUGAGUAACGCGUGAGGAACCUGCCUCAAAGAGGGGGACAACAGUUGGAAACGACUGCUAAUACCGCAUAAGCCCACGGCUCGGCAUCGAGCAGAGGGAAAAGGAGCAAUCCGCUUUGAGAUGGCCUCGCGUCCGAUUAGCUGGUUGGUGAGGUAACGGCCCACCAAGGCGACGAUCGGUAGCCGGACUGAGAGGUUGAACGGCCACAUUGGGACUGAGACACGGCCCAGACUCCUACGGGAGGCAGCAGUGGGGAAUAUUGCACAAUGGGGGAAACCCUGAUGCAGCGACGCCGCGUGGAGGAAGAAGGUCUUCGGAUUGUAAACUCCUGUUGUUGGGGAAGAUAAUGACGGUACCCAACAAGGAAGUGACGGCUAACUACGUGCCAGCAGCCGC